CCUGAUCAGCCGUCCAUACACCAUAGACACACCCAAACCAUACGAGUCCUAAGCGUUGACGCUAUGUAUAUUCUAGUAAUUUUACUUUAAUUUUCACAGCAAGGACGGAGACGAAGAGACCCUAACCCUAAUAUGCUCUGAUUGGAUGAUGGGAAGCCAAGGCAAUAUCAGAAAGGAAGACGUUGUUCAAAAGCUCAAGGACGAUGGCGACUUUGAUAGACUCCGUCUCAUGAUCAUUCGCAAGCUCAAGGACAAAGAAGAGUUGCGUAACAGCAUUAUUUCAAUGGUGAAGCAGUCAGAAGCACUUAAUCAUGCAGGCAAUGAAAAUCUGAAACCCAGGCAAUUUUGUGAUGCCAUUUACAAAGAGAUCCAAACAGAGGCAAUGAACCACAUAUCUGAUAGUCUGUGGGAAAUAAUCAGAUCAGAUGAUGGAAAAAGUGAAAUUACCAAAACAGUACAAUCUGUCUACAAUAAAUUAGUGAAUCCGAAAGGGAAUGAAGAGGGCAAUUCUUCGUCUCCCAAUAUCUUAGCACAAUUUCAAAAUGGAACUGGCAAUAACAGUUUCCAGAAAGCCCCAGCCAGUGAAAUCAAUGAUCCAAUGUCUGAUAAUGAGCUGAAUGAACCACCAGGUUUCUCUAUGAAUAACACUCAUCAGAGCAACAGCCAUGGGGAGGAAAAAGGGGAGCAGCAGCAGCCUAUGCCUUCUGAAAGGGGACCCACUGAAGAACACAAGGAAGGGUCCAACCACCCACUGGAAGUUUUGGAGCCACAUGAUGUUGAUCAUGGUGUGCCACCUGGAUUUUCUGCAGCUAUGGAGAACAGUCAGCCAUGUGAUGGUAGCGAUGAGGACCCUGAUGUGCCUCCAGGAUUUGGUUGAGUUGUCUUGCAGUUUGUUUUGUCACUGCUAUCAUGCGCCGGUGCAUUUGUUAAAGGCUCUAGAAUGAAGGAUUCAUCCAUAUAAUUACUGCCACCACAUUUCCUUGUUCAUCCUAGAAGUUCAUACUGAAUCUUUGCAACUAGCAAUGGUCUCUAUAUACCCCAUCAUUGAAGGAGGUCGAUGAUGUCAUGUAACAAUCUUUGUGUUUUUAAGUGAGCCAUCUUACCUCAUGGAAAGUUCAGUCCUUCGUUUUCUCCAUCUCCCGUUGUCUCUUUGGCUUAUUUCUUUCUACGCUUUUGCCUGGUUCAGACAAUUCGGUCUGUAAAUGAAGAUAAUGAGAUAAAGGAGGCAUCGCAGAUUAACUGAUCAUGUAAGCAAGGAUUUCUGCUCGUCUUCUGCAUUCUCAUUAAUCCACUCCUCACUUGAACAUAAUGGAGAUUGGACUCCCAACAGAGUGUUUGCCAGAAACCCAUUUGAGAUAUCCUUGAGCAAAUUUGCUGCUUUUCCCGCUGGAGCUAUUGUGGCUGAAUGUCACUGAAUACGUCAGCUUCUGGUUCACCUUAGAGAAGUAAAGCUUAUCAGGAUUGACACUCACAUCAACUCCUUGUGGUACAAUCGCCGUUACGGUGUAAGAUGAAUAGGCCUCACCAACAUUUGUCACAGUCCGUGUCAAAGUCUGAGGUGGUCCCAGUGCAACAGAAAAUGAAGGGUAGUUUAGCUCUCCUUCAGGAAUGCUUGAUUCUUCUGAGCAUUUGAUGGAUCGAUGUGCAAGGAUCCCAACUUCAGUAUCUGUGUAGCCCAGGCCACAUAAAUAAGGUAUAUAGUCAUCAGGUUCGAUAUCAUAAACCAAGCCUGGAUCAUUUGCUCUUGAUGGGUUAACAUGACCUGCGCCAGUAGCAAAUAUGUCUGCAGGAAGAAGUCUUUCAUCGAGAAUGGGUUUUCCCCCAACGUUUAGUAGAUCAGCGGUAGUCAUUAUGGCAGAUUUAAUGGCAGCUGGUGACCAAUCCGGAUGAGAGCUCUUGAGCAAAGCUGCAAUGCCACUAAGAUGAGGGCAGGACAUUGAUGUGCCAGAGAUUAUGUUGAAUGUGGAUUUUGAAUUUAUGUUAUUGUCAAGAGGGAAGGGCCAUGCAGCUAGAAUGCUCACCCCAGGCCCAAUAAUAUCUGGUUUCAGAAUUCCUGGACUUGCAAAGCUGGGGCCUCUGGAAGAGAAGGAAGUAAUAGCGGGAGACAAUGGGUUGCCAAUUACAGUUCCUUUAAACAAGAUUGCUGCUGUUGGUGUUGCGGUUGAGUUUAUAUAGGCUUUAAUCUUCAGUCCUGCAGCGUAGCUCACAUGUGUUGCAGGAAGUACAUGGGCAUCAGCUAAGGUGCUGAAGCCAUCACUUUCUUGGUUCACGAGAAUCAUGGCAGCACCACCAGCAUUUUUCACUUCCGUCCCUUUGUCAAUUCUGGCUAUUCCCCCACCUCUGUCACACAGCACUACCUUCCCCUUGACAUCAAUAUUUUUCAAGGAUCCCUCUCCACAUACUGCAGACUCUGGUUUACCAUUCAUUCCAGCAUAAACGAGAGGCAAUUGUGUUGCUGGGAAGUCACUGGGCUGGAAAAGGGUUUCACCAUCAAAUUGUUCCCCAUUUCCAAGUUUUGCAGCAGCUUUGAUGGUUCUAUCAAUGGAACUGGCUCCAACAGUGAGAAUCCAUGGGGCUUCGUUAGAUAGAGUGGUGUUGAAAGGGCCAGAAUUCCCAGCUGAACAGCUCACAAAAAUUCCCUUUUGCAUUGCUGCAAAUGAGCCCACUGCUAUAUUGUCCUGGAAAAAUGGAACUGCAGGAUCACCUAAAGAGAUUGAGAUCACGUCAACACCAUCUUCAACAGCAGCAUCAAGUCCAGCUAUUACAUCACUUUCUGGGCAAUCUGGUCCAAAGCACACCUUGUAUAUUGCCAAGUGAGCGUAAGGUGCCAUCCCAACUGCCGUGCCCUUGGCAUUUCCAAGCACAUCAGCAUUCUUCACAAAUGCGCCAGCAGCUGUGCUUGCCGUAUGGGUACCAUGCCCAUCAUCAUCAAGUGGUGGCUCAGCUGUCACUCCCUUUGUGGCCUUGGCCCCGACAUUGAAAGACCUUGCACCAAUUAGUUUGUUGUUACAUUCUGAUGCCAUGAACUCACAGCUUCCUUUCCAUUUAGCUGGUGGAGGUGGAAUUCCUUCACCGCUAAAUGAAGGAUGGCUAGGCAACACUCCAGAGUCCAAUACUCCAAUGAUCACCCCCUUUCCGAAAUUUGAUUCUUUCCAGAAGCCCAUUUCCUGGUGCAACCCUAGGAAAUCGGGUGAAUGCGUUGUUAGUAGAGGCAACAUCUUUUCUGGACGUGCUGAGAUGAACCCGUCCUUAUUUUCCAUAGCUCUGACUUCUUCCUCCGUCAGUCUGGCUGCAAAACCACUGAUCACAUUUUUGUAUGAAUAAACCAGGCGUUCCUGGUUGUCUGAAGUGGCAGUGGCCACUGGCAAAAAUGACCGAUGCCAACUCUCUAGAUUCUCUUGUUGGGCAGUGGUGCUCCUUUCCAGCUGCUUAACGUGGACAAUGUAAGUUUGCAACUUGCUCUUCUCAGUUGUUUCAAUUGAGGAUGAAAAUUGAUUUCCCUGAGCAAUCUCAGGAGAGAUGUAAAGCAUAAAAACUAUAGUGAGGAAACGGAAAAUGGCCAUGUUUAAUGGCAACCCACUCUUCAUAAGUAGAGUGGAGAGAUGCAGUGAUCUGUGUUUCUGUAACGGGUUGCUUCGUGUACAUAUAUACGGAAGAGGGAGAGAGAAAUGGCCGGCAUAUUCAUAAGAGUUUCUCAGUGUGGGUUAAGUGUACGUUAAUGCCUACAUUAGCUUACCUAUUUGGAGUAUAAUGUCUACAAUAGCUUCAAUAGAUUCCAUAACUGUUAAGGACGGCAACUGAGGAUUGUGGCCAGUGUUUGUUUAGGGGACUUGGUCUAACUUGUCUUGCCACAUUUGUCCAGUUACAAUCGUUUGCAUCAAGUUUCACUACAUUGCUGGGAAAUGGGAGGGUUAUUUUAGAAAUCUCAUUCCAGUUAUUAUGCUAGAAACGUUAAACAGGUAGGAGACAAUAAUUCCAAGAGUGUUUCCGCUUUUGAAUUUCCAUCAUAUAGACUAUAAUACAAACUGAUAUUGGAACAUGGAAGGUUUGUUCUUAAAUAUUUUGUACAUAAGAUGUGUCAUCCUAUCUUGUAGUUGCACUUGAUAUUUCUAUUUGGACGUAAUGUGGGGAUCUACUUCGAGAAAUAGUUGGCUCUUUUCAGUC